GCGAAAGGCUUUCGGGCCGAGUAGAGCGGCGGACGGGUAGUAACGCGUAGGAAUCUACCUGGUAGUGGGGGACAACUUGGGGAAACUCAAGCUAAUACCGCAUACGCCCUAUGGGGGAAAGCGGGGGACCUUCGGGCCUCGCGCUAUCAGAUGAGCCAGCGUAGGAUUAGCUAGUUGGUGAGGUAAAGGCUCACCAAGGCGACGAUCCUUAGCUGGUCUGAGAGGAUGAUCAGCCACACUGGGACUGAGACACGGCCCAGACUCCUACGGGAGGCAGCAGUGGGGAAUAUUGCGCAAUGGGGGAAACCCUGACGCAGCCAUGCCGCGUGUGUGAAGAAGGCCUUCGGGUUGUAAAGCACUUUCACUUGGGAAGAAAAGUACACCGCUAAUAGCGGUGUGCCCUGACAUUACCUUGAGAAGAAGCACCGGCUAACUCCGUGCCAGCAGCCGCGGUAAUACGGAGGGUGCGAGCGUUAAUCGGAAUUACUGGGCGUAAAGCGCGCGUAGGCGGUUUGUUAAGUCAGCUGUGAAAGCCCCGGCUCAACCUGGGAACUGCAGUUGAUACUGCCGACUGGAGUGCGAGA
rnacentral:rRNA from 1 species